GAAACUUAAAGGAAUUGGCGGGGGGAGCACAACAACGGGGGGGGGCCUGCGGUUUAAUUGGACUCAACGCCGGAAAACUCACCGGGGGCGACAGCAAUAUGUGGGCCAAGCUAAAGACUUUGCCUGAAUCGCUGAGAGGAGGUGCAUGGCCGUCGCCAGUUCGUACUGUGAAGCAUCCUGUUAAGUCAGGCAACGAGCGAGACCCGUGCCCACUGUUACCAGCAUGUCCUCCGGGACGAUGGGUACACUGUGGGGACCGCUGAUGUCAAAUCAGAGGAAGGUGCGGGCUACGGUAGGUCAGUAUGCCCCGAAUCUCCCGGGCUACACGCGGGCUACAAUGGUCGGGACAAUGGGUCCCUUCCCCGAAAGGGGUUGGUAAUCUCACAAACCCGUCCUUAGUUCGGAUCGAGGGCUGUAANUUCGCCCUCGUGAAGCUGGAAUCCGUAGUAAUCGCGUUUCAAUAUAGCGCGGUGAAUACGUCCCUGCUCCUUGCACACACCGCCCGUCAAACCACCCGAGUGAGGUAUGGGUGAGGGCACGGACUCUGUGCCGUGUUCGAACCUGAAUUUCGCAAGGGGGGUUAAGUCGUAACAA
rnacentral:rRNA from 1 species